AUUAGCAUGUUUGGGAUCCACUACUGGAUGGUUAACAGCAGCUUUUGUAACUGUACGCCGACCAUAUCCAAUUAUGCUCUGCUAAAAAUGAACUCUUUGCAGACCAACCCUCUCGGCUGUCAGUGUUUUCCGUUUUCCUAUUUUAACGUUUGUGUAUAGUGGCAGGCGACAGAUGGUGUAGAUCAGAUCGAUUUGAUUGCAUUAGAUGAUUUUUUCCCUUCCCCACUCCUUUCUGGAAGCUCGCAUCAGCUGAAGGCUAUCGCCUGGGACUCCUCGGAAGCAUGAGCAAGCCGCCACCACGCGAAGGCACUGGGGCACAGCCAGCGCGAGGCGCCGAGGUCCCUUCCCAGGGCUUGUUAACACUGUAACCCAGCACUCGGAGAGAAGAAGCAGCUCCCACUGCCCAGAGCCUACCUCACUGCACAUCAGAUGACUCCCUGGCUUCUACACACAGUUGGAGUUCCUCUUGAAACCUGGAUUUAGAGGGGUUCCCUGGCUGCCAUGGCACUCAAUCAAACCACCUAGAGUGGACUGACCGAGACCAGACUGGGUACCAAGCAGAGAAGUGCAGAGGAAAGCACUGGGAGAGCACCAGAAUUGGAAAUAGAGCGGCCAUUUGGAUUUGGGCAGGAAGCAGCCGAGCACAGCUUUGGAUCCUUCUUUAGGGAAAUCGAGUUAUGGAUUUAUGGUCCCGGUCAAGCUCAGCCCAUCCCCAGCCAGGGGCGGGCUCAGCGAGCAGCAAGAGUUCUGGUGGCGGCGGCGGCGGCAGUAGCAGCGGCAGCGGUAGCAGCGGCAGCGGCAGCUUGGUCCUCUGACUCUCUUCGGUGACGGGUAUUCUUGGGUGGAUAAUACGGAUUACGUUGUUAUUGCUUAAGAAUACGCGUAGUCGAGGAGAGUACCAGCGGCAGGGGGGCAGCGGCCGCCCUCCCCAGCCCACCAGCUGGCCACUAAACGCCCGUGGUUGCCAAGGCAUCCAAAGCCUCUGGGAUGUGUUCUGACUGUAAAAACUCUGAUGUUCUGAAAAAAGCUUACGCUUUGCCUCCACUCAAACCAGAUGGUGUUUUGCUCUUAUUGCCCAGGCUGGAGUGCAAUGACGUGAUCUUGGCUCACCACAGUCUCUGCAUCCAGGAUUCAAGCUAUUCCCCUGCCUCAGCCUCCCAAAAUGCUGGGAUUACAGGCGUGAGCCACCAUGCCUGGCCAGCAUUCCCAAUUUUUAAAAAUGAAUGAUUGGCACAAAUCUUAGAAAGCCAUUUUCUGUACAUUUGAAAGCAAUGCUAUUUACAUUGUUACUACUUUCUUGUUAAAUCUUGCAUGUCUGCAGUAUGUGUUGUAAUAGAAACCUAAGAUUAUGGUCUGCCGUAUUCAUAUUUUGAAAAGAAAAUUUCAGACUGUAUAAUCAACUAGUUGAUGAUUCAUAUUUGCUUGUACAAAGUUAAAAGUGUAACUUGCCAGAAAAGAAGGAAGCCUGAAAAGUAUUCUAAAUACAUUAAUAAGAAGGGUUCUACAUGAAUUAAUUUUUGUUUUACCAUCUACAGAGUUCCUGCCACGUUCUAGGCACUUCAUAUUUGCUGCAACAUUUAUUCUGACAUUGACAGAACAGGAGAAAAGAAGUUAAAUUUUAAGUACCAUGGACUGAAAUUAAACUUAGGGAAGAUAUUUUAUAGUAUUAAUUGUUAAUCUGUAUUUAACAAGAUAUUCAUUUAUUUUGGGUGAUUUAAGGAUGGUCCCUUCUGGAAACAGGAUUACCAACAUAUGGACCUAUUUAGUCAAUUUCAACCUUGUGAUUUUGAAUCUGACAGGUUCUCAGCUGCUUUUAUUAAAUAACGGAUUUUCUUAAUAAUUACUGUACUCAAACUUAGCAAAAAGCUCUCACUAUUUAUAGCCCAGUUUUUUAGUCACACAUGAUUGUGUCUUGUCAAAUUGAAACCAUAUACUACAUCCUUUACUUAUUAAGAUGGUCUUUCUUUGUAAUAAUUUUGGAGUAAAUAGUUUACUUAUCUAAACCUCUGAUUUCUGAUUUAAUAGAUUUUUGAAGCAUUUAUUUUCCUUACCAUACAUAAAAAUUGUCAGUUGAGGACAAGGAAGGAUUAACCUGGACUAUGGUGAAUAAUUGUUCAGGUUGCUUACUGUGUAACUCCAGAGGAGCAUUCACAUAGUAGAAUUGGCAGAUUUAAGUAUUUAUUACAACCAUUUUCUGGCAGAUAACAGUGGAACACCCUGUUCUAUUAAAAUUAGUUUAUUAUGACAAAUUGCCUACAAAUGGACAUAAAGUGUCUUGAGGAAGGGCACCUGCUUUGGACUGAAUCGUGUCCCCCCACAAUCAUAUGUUGAAGCCUAAUCUCUAAUGUGACGGUAUUUGGAUAUGGGGCCUUUGGGAGAUAACUAGGUUUAGAUGAGGUCAUGAGCAUGGGGCCUUCCUGAUUAGUACCCUGAAAAGAGAAAACACCAGAGAGCUUGCCCUCUCUCUCUCUUACCCCACAGGCACACAAAGAGGUCAUGUGAGUACACAGUGAGAUAACAACCACCUAUGAGAAAACAGAAGAGGCUUCAGAAUGAAAUCUACUUUGCUGGUACUGUAAUGUUGGACAUUAUUCUCUAGAACUGUGAGAUAAUAAAUUUAUCUUAUUU
rnacentral:lncRNA from 1 species